UGAGGAAUAUUGGUCAAUGGGCGCAAGCCUGAACCAGCCAUCCCGCGUGCAGGAAGACGGCCCUAUGGGUUGUAAACUGCUUUUCCAGGGGGAGAAACUUGCGCACGUGUUGCGCAAUUGACGGUACCCUGGGAAUAAGCAUCGGCUAACUCCGUGCCAGCAGCCGCGGUAAUACGGAGGAUGCGAGCGUUAUCCGGAUUCAUUGGGUUUAAAGGGUGCGUAGGCGGACUAUUAAGUCAGUGGUGAAAUCCUGCAGCUUAACUGCAGAACUGCCAUUGAUACUGAUAGCCUUGAGUUUGGUUAAGGUAGGCGGAAUGUGUAAUGUAGCGGUGAGAUGCUUAGAUAUUACACAGAACACCGAUUGCGAAGGCAGCUUACUGGGCCGUUACUGACGCUGAUGCACGAAAGCGUGGGGAUCGAACA
rnacentral:rRNA from 1 species